GCGCAGCAGGCGAGAAACCUCCCCAAUGCCCGAAAGGGUGAGGGGUCACCCUGAGUGCCACCCUCGUGGUGGCUUUUGCGGGGUCUAAAAGCCCCGCGAAUAAGGGGAGGGCAAGACGGGUGUCAGCCGCCGCGGUAAUACCCGCUCCCCGAGUGGUGGGGACUAUUACUGGGCUUAAAAGCGUCCGUAGCCGGCUGGGUGUGUCCCCCGUUAAAAUCCACGGGCCUAACCCGUGGGCUGCGGGGGAUACUACCUGGCUUGGGGGUGGGAGAGGGCGGCGGUAUUCCCGGGGUAGGGGUAAAAUCCUUUGAUCCCCGGGAGGACCACCAGUGGCGAAGGCGGCCGCCCAGAACACGCCCGACGGUGAGGGACGAAAGCUGGGGGAGCAAAACGGGAUUAGAUACCCGUGUAGU
rnacentral:rRNA from 1 species